rnacentral:rRNA from 1 species
GGAGGGUGCGAGCGUUAAUCGGAAUUACUGGGCGUAAAGCGCGCGUAGGCGGCUUGGUCAGUCGGAUGUGAAAGCCCCGGGCUUAACCUGGGAAUUGCAUUCGAUACUGCCUGGCUAGAGUAUGGUAGAGGGAAGUGGAAUUUCCGGUGUAGCGGUGAAAUGCGUAGAUAUCGGAAGGAACACCAGUGGCGAAGGCGGCUUCCUGGACCAAUACUGACGCUCAGGUGCGAAAGCGUGGGGAGCGAACAGGGAUUAGAUACCCUGGUAGUCCACGCCGUAAACGAUGAGAACUAGAUGUUGGGAGGAUUUGCCUUUCAGUGUCGCAGCUAACGCGUUAAGUUCUCCGCCUGGGGAUACGGCCGCAAGGUUG